rnacentral:rRNA from 1 species
CCUACGGGAGGCAGCAGUAAGGAAUAUUGGUCAAUGGACGAAAGUCUGAACCAGCCAUCCCACGUGCAGGAUGAAGGUCCUAUGGAUUGUAAACUGCUUUUAGUAGAGAAGAAACGCUUUCAUUUAUGAGAGCCUGACGGUAUCUACAGAAUAAGCACCGGCUAACUCCGUGCCAGCAGCCGCGGUAAUACGGAGGGUGCAAGCGUUAUCCGGAAUCACUGAGUUUAAAGGGUGCGUAGGCGGGUUAUUAAGUCAGUGGUGAAAUACUGUCGCUUAACGAUAGAACUGCCAUUGAUACUGAUAGUCUUGAAUUGGGUUGAGGUUAGCGGAAUGUGACAUGUAGCGGUGAAAUGCAUAGAUAUGUCAUGGAACACCAAUUGCGAAGGCAGCUAACUGGGCCUUGAUUGACGCUGAGGCACGAAAGCGUGGGUAGCGAACAGGAUUAGAUACCCUGGUAGUCCACGCCCUAAACGAUGCUAACUCGAUGUUUGGACAGUAAGUUUGAGCAUCCAAGGGAAACCGAUAAGUUAGCCACCUGGGGAGUACGACCGCAAGGUUGAAACUCAAAUGAAUUGACGG